ACGUAGGGUGCAAGCGUUAAUCGGAAUUACUGGGCGUAAAGCGUGCGCAGGCGGUUUUGUAAGUCUGACGUGAAAUCCCCGGACUCAACCUGGGAAUUGCGUUGGAGACUGCAAGGCUAGAAUCUGGCAGAGGGGGGUAGAAUUCCACGUGUAGCAGUGAAAUGCGUAGAGAUGUGGAGGAACACCGAUGGCGAAGGCAGCCCCCUGGGUCAAGAUUGACGCUCAUGCACGAAAGCGUGGGGAGCAAACAGG
rnacentral:rRNA from 1 species